UACGGAGGGGGCUAGCGUUGUCCGGAUUUAUUGGGCGUAAAGAGCGUGUAGGCGGCCAGGGAGGUCCGUUGUGAAAACUCGAGGCUCAACCUCGAGACGCCGAUGGAAACCCCCUGGCUAGAGUCCGGAAGAGGAGAAUGGAAUUCCUGGUGUAGCGGUGAAAUGCGCAGAUAUCAGGAAGAACACCCGUGGCUAAGGCGGUUCUCUAGUACGGUACUGACGCUGAGACGCGAAAGCGUGGGGAGCGAACAGG
rnacentral:rRNA from 1 species